rnacentral:tRNA from 5 species
ACUUAAAUAAUUUAAAAAAAAUAUUGAUUUGUGGUAUCAAAAAUAUGAAAUUAAUAGUCAUUUUAAGUU